rnacentral:rRNA from 1 species
AGAAUUUGAUCUUGGUUCAGAACGAACGCUGGCGGCGCGUUUAAGCAUGCAAGUCGAGCGGCAAGGGCCUUCGGGCCCCUAGAGCGGCGGACGGGUGAGUAACACGUGGACAAUCUCGCCCCCCGGCCCGGGAUAGCCCGAGGGAAACCCGGAUUAAUACCGGGAUGAGACGGGACCCGCGAUGGCGGGACCCGGGAAAGGCGCUGCGGCGCCGCCGGGGGAUGAGUCUGCGUCCCAUUAGCUAGACGGCGGGGUAACGGCCCACCGUGGCGACGAUGGGUAGCCGGCCUGAGAGGGUGGACGGCCACAUUGGAACUGAGACACGGUCCAGACUCCUACGGGAGGCAGCAGCUAAGAAUCUUCCGCAAUGGGCGAAAGCCUGACGGAGCGACGCCGCGUGAACGAAGAAGGCCGUGAGGUUGUAAAGUUCUUUUCGGGAGGGGGAACAACCGUGGCAGGGAAUGGCCGCGGGAUGACGUGAAUCCCGGAAUAAGCCCCGGCUAACUACGUGCCAGCAGCUGC